CAACAUUGCUGUCUCAAAGAUAGGCAUGCAUGUCUAAGUAUAAGCAAUUAUACCGUGAACCUGCGAAUGGCUCAUUAAAUCAGUUAUCGUUUAUUUGAUAGUACCUUACUACUUGGAUACCCGUGGUAAUUCUAGAGCUAAUACAUGCAAAAAACCCCCAACUUCGGAAGGGGUGUAUUUAUUAGAUAAAAAACCAAUGCCCUUCGGGGCUCUUUGGUGAUUCAUGAUAACUUAACGGAUCGCAUGGCCUUGCGCCGGCGACGGUUCAUUCAAAUUUCUGCCCUAUCAACUUUCGAUGGUAAGGUAUUGGCUUACCAUGGUUUCAACGGGUAACGGAUUUUUAGGGAAAGAUCCCGGAGAGGGAGCCUGAGAAACGGCUACCACAUCCAAGGAAGGCAGCAGGCGCGCAAAUUACCCAAUCCCGACACGGGGAGGUAGUGACAAUAAAUACUGAUACAGGGCUCUUUUGGGUCUUGUAAUCGGAAUGAGUACAAUUUAAAUACCUUAACGAGGAACAAUUGGAGGGCAAGUCUGGUGCCAGCAGCCGCGGUAAUUCCAGCUCCAAUAGCGUAUAUUAAAGUUGUUGCAGUUAAAAAGCUCGUAGUUGAACCUUGGGCCUGGCUGGCCGGUCCGCCUCACCGCGUGUACUGGUCCGGCCGGGCCUUUCCUUCUGGAGAACCGCAUGCCCUUCACUGGGUGUGUCGGGGAACCAGGACUUUUACUUUGAGAAAAUUAGAGUGUUCAAAGCAGGCCUUUGCUCGAAUACGUUAGCAUGGAAUAAUAGAAUAGGACGUGCGGUCCUAUUUUGUUGGUUUCUAGAACCGCCGUAAUGAUUAAUAGGGAUAGUCGGGGGCGUCAGUAUUCAAUUGUCAGAGGUGAAAUUCUUGGAUCUAUUGAAGACUAACUACUGCGAAAGCAUUCGCCAAGGAUGUUUUCAUUAAUCAGUGAACGAAAGUUAGGGGAUCGAAGACGAUCAGAUACCGUCGUAGUCUUAACCGUAAACUAUGCCGACUAGGGAUCGGGCGAUGUUUUUUUAUUGACUCGCUCGGCACCUUACGAGAAAUCA
rnacentral:rRNA from 1 species